rnacentral:rRNA from 1 species
GAUGAACGCUGGCGGCGUGCCUAAUACAUGCAAGUCGAGCGAACAGAUGAGGAGCUUGCUCCUCUGACGUUAGCGGCGGACGGGUGAGUAACACGUUGAUAACCUACCUAUAAGACUGGGAUAACUUCGGGAAACCGGAGCUAAUACCGGAUAAUAUAUUGAACCGCAUGGUUCAAUAGUGAAAGACGGUUUUGCUGUCACUUAUAGAUGGAUCCGCGCCGCAUUAGCUAGUUGGUAAGGUAACGGCUUACCAAGGCAACGAUGCGUAGCCGACCUGAGAGGGUGAUCGGCCACACUGGAACUGAGACACGGUCCAGACUCCUACGGGAGGCAGCAGUAGGGAAUCUUCCGCAAUGGGCGAAAGCCUGACGGAGCAACGCCGCGUGAGUGAUGAAGGUCUUCGGAUCGUAAAACUCUGUUAUUAGGGAAGAACAAAUGUGUAAGUAACUAUGCACGUCUUGACGGUACCUAAUCAGAAAGCCACGGCUAACUACGUG